ACACGAGUAGUAAUUAUGAUAAAGUAUUUUUUUUUUAUUUCUAUAGAACCUACCACAGCAGCACCACCUACAACAUCAGUGACAACUGAGGAACCUACCACAGCAGCACAACCGACAACGUCAGUGACAACUGAGGAACCUACCACGGCAGCACCACCUACAACAUCAAUGACAACUGAGGG